rnacentral:rRNA from 1 species
UGUGAGCUCGAUGAGUAGGGCGGGACACGUGGUAUCCUGUCUGAAUAUGGGGGGACCAUCCUCCAAGGCUAAAUACUCCUGACUGACCGAUAGUGAACCAGUACCGUGAGGGAAAGGCGAAAAGAACCCCGGCGAGGGGAGUGAAAAAGAACCUGAAACCGUGUACGUACAAGCAGUGGGAGCACGCUUAGGCGUGUGACUGCGUACCUUUUGUAUAAUGGGUCAGCGACUUAUAUUCUGUAGCAAGGUUAACCGAAUAGGGGAGCCGAAGGGAAACCGAGUCUUAACUGGGCGUUAAGUUGCAGGGUAUAGACCCGAAACCCGGUGAUCUAGCCAUGGGCAGGUUGAAGGUUGGGUAACACUAACUGGAGGACCGAACCGACUAAUGUUGAAAAAUUAGCGGAUGACUUGUGGCUGGGGGUGAAAGGCCAAUCAAACCGGGAGAUAGCUGGUUCUCCCCGAAAGCUAUUUAGGUAGCGCCUCGUGAAUUCAUCUCCGGGGGUAGAGCACUGUUUCGGCAAGGGGGUCAUCCCGACUUACCAACCCGAUGCAAACUGCGAAUACCGGAGAAUGUUAUCACGGGAGACACACGGCGGGUGCUAACGUCCGUCGUGAAGAGGGAAACAACCCAGACCGCCAGCUAAGGUCCCAAAGUCAUGGUUAAGUGGGAAACGAUGUGGGAAGGCCCAGACAGCCAGGAUGUUGGCUUAGAAGCAGCCAUCAUUUAAAGAAAGCGUAAUAGCUCACUGGUCGAGUCGGCCUGCGCGGAAGAUGUAACGGGGCUAAACCAUGCACCGAAGCUGCGGCAGCGACAC